rnacentral:rRNA from 1 species
CAGCACCUCAAGUGGUCAGGAUGAUUAUUGGGCCUAAAGCAUCCGUAGCCGGCGCUGUAAGUUUUCGGUUAAAUCUGUACGCUCAACGUACAGGCUGCCGGGAAUACUGCAGCGCUAGGGAGUGGGAGAGGUAGACGGUACUCGGUAGGAAGGGGUAAAAUCCUUUGAUCUAUUGAUGACCACCUGUGGCGAUGGCGGUCUACCAGAACACGUCCGACGGUGAGGGAUGAAAGCUGGGGGAGCAAACCGGAUUAGAGACCCGAGUAGUCC